rnacentral:rRNA from 1 species
UACAGAGGUCUCAAGCGUUGUUCGGAUUCAUUGGGCGUAAAGGGUGCGUAGGUGGCGCGGUAAGUCGGGUGUGAAAUUUCGGAGCUUAACUCCGAAACUGCAUUCGAUACUGCCGUGCUUGAGGACUGGAGAGGAGGCUGGAAUUCAUGGUGUAGCAGUGAAAUGCGUAGAGAUCAUGAGGAAGACCAGUGGCGAAGGCGGGUCUCUGGACAGUUCCUGACACUGAGACACGAAGGCCAGGGGAGCAAACGGG